rnacentral:lncRNA from 1 species
CCCAUGUACACCCAUGACUCAACCUAAUCUCACCUAUCCUGGGCCCAGAUCUGGCCCAUAAAGAGUUGGUCCCUUGAGGCCCACAUAACCUAGACCUCAAGAACCCGAAAGGCCCACAGCCUUUCAACCUAGGGCCUAACUAGCCCUAGAGCCUCCAUGAAGCCCUCAUGAAUGAUGGACCUUGGCCUUAGCCUUGGUCCCCUGGGCCUUGGGCAUACCACCUG